UACGUAGGGUCCGAGCGUUGUCCGGAAUUACUGGGCGUAAAGAGCUCGUAGGUGGUUUGUCGCGUUGUUCGUGAAAAACUCACAGCUUAACUCGUGGGCGUGCGGGCGAUACGGGCAGACUUGAGUACUGCAGGGGAGACUGGAAUUCCUGGUGUAGCGGUGGAAUGCGCAGAUAUCAGGAGGAACACCGGUGGCGAAGGCGGGUCUCUGGGCAGUAACUGACGCUGAGGAGCGAAAGCGUGGGGAGCGAACAGG
rnacentral:rRNA from 1 species